GAUGAACGCUGGCGGCGUGCCUAAUACAUGCAAGUCGAGCGAACAGACGAGGAGCUUGCUCCUCUGACGUUAGCCGCGGACGGGUGAGUAACACGUGGAUAACCUACCUAUAAGACUGGGAUAACUUCGGGAAACCGGAGCUAAUACCGUAUAAUAUAUUGAACCGCAUGGUUCAAUAGUGAAAGACGGUUUUGCUGUCACUUAUAGAUGGAUCCGCGCCGCAUUAGCUAGUUGGUAAGGUAACGGCUUACCAAGGCAACGAUGCGUAGCCGACCUGAGAGGGUGAUCGGCCACACUGGAACUGAGACACGGUCCAGACUCCUACGGGAGGCAGCAGUAGGGAAUCUUCCGCAGAGGGCGAAAGCAUGACGGAGCAACGCCGCGUGAGAGAUGAAGGUCUUCGGAUCGUAAAACUCUGUUAUUAGGGAAGAACAAAUGUGUAAGUAACUAUGCACGUCUUGACGGUACCUAAUCAGAAAGCCACGGCUAACUACGUG
rnacentral:rRNA from 1 species